rnacentral:rRNA from 1 species
UACGAAGGGGGCUAGCGUUGCUCGGAAUCACUGGGCGUAAAGCGCACGUAGGCGGAUUGCUAAGUCAGGGGUGAAAUCCUGGAGCUCAACUCCAGAACUGCCUUUGAUACUGGCGAUCUCGAGUCCGGGAGAGGUGAGUGGAACUGCGAGUGUAGAGGUGAAAUUCGUAGAUAUCGCAAGAACACCAGUGGCGAAGGCGGCUCACUGGCCCGGUACUGACGCUGAGGUGCGAAAGCGUGGGGAGCAACAG